rnacentral:rRNA from 1 species
AUCRUUAGUUUUUUAAUUGAAAACUUGUUUGAAUGGUUGAAUGAGAAAUUAACUUUUUUAAAAAAAUAAUUGAAUUUUACUUUUUAAUUAAAAGGUUAAAAUAAAUUUAAAAGACGAGAAGACCCUAUAGAGUUUUAUAAUUUUUAUUUAAUAUUUUAAAAAGAUAAAUUUAAAUUUUAUAAAAAAAAUUAUUUUGUUGGGGUGAUUAUAAAAUUUAAGAAACUUUUAUUUUUUUUUACAUUAAUAUAUGAUUUUAUGAACCAUUAUUUAAUGAUUAAAAAUUUAAAUUACCUUAGGGAUAACAGCGUAAUUUUUUUUUCAAGUUCAUAUUAAUAAAAAAUUUUGCGACCUC